GGAGACGCUGGCGGCGUGCUUAACACAUGCAAGUCGAACGGAGCACCCUUGAUUGAGGUUUCGGCCAAAUGAUAGGAAUGCUUAGUGGCGGACUGGUGAGUAACGCGUGAGGAACCUGCCUUUCAGAGGGGGACAACAGUUGGAAACGACUGCUAAUACCGCAUGACGCAUUUUGAUCGCAUGGUCGAAAUGCCAAAGAUUUAUCGCUGAAAGAUGGCCUCGCGUCUGAUUAGCUAGUUGGCGGGGGUUAACGGGCCCACCAAGGCGACGAUCAGUAGCCGGACUGAGAGGUUGACCGGCCACAUUGGGACUGAGAUACGGCCCAGACUCCUACGGGAGGCAGCAGUGGGGAAUAUUGGGCAAUGGGGGAAACCCUGACCCAGCAACGCCGCGUGAAGGAAGAAGGCUUCGGGUUGUAAACUUCUUUUACCAGGGACGAAGAAAGUGACGGUACCUGGAGAAAAAGCCACGGCUAACUACGUG
rnacentral:rRNA from 1 species